ACUUCAAAGUUAAGCAUUUUCAAGCACCACUGAUUUCAGUAGGAGAGUUUAGCAAUCUUCAUUCUCAUUGAAAGAAAUGUAAUUUCCCCCCUUGGUGUUUUAAAAACCCAAAGCUGAACAAUUCAAAGAAGCUGGACUAUCUAUGGGCUUCUGACAUGCCAACAAUCCUAUGUGCAAGGCAAUGUUAUUGUAAAAUAGAGAAACUAGACAGAGCGCCAUACAGUUAUAUCCCACAACUCCCUAUUCUCUUACUGCUACAUGUUGCUGGUGCAACAUUGCACUGGUGCAGGAAAGGGUUAGGGUCUUUCUCAGGGAAGAUGACAGAGGCGGCUGAGAGUCUCAGCAGCGCGUUGCUCAUUCAGCUCCCGCCUUGCAGAUGGACGAGGAGAUGAUUUCAUCAUCAUAGCUGAUUACACCCAGGCAAUGUUUAAUCCAAAGGGGAAUGCAGGUCACCCUGCCACCUCCUCUCUGCCUGUUCUUCAAAAUGAAUAAUUAACACAGUUUCCCUUUUAAUUGUUAUCCUGGAUUCAUGCAUGCUGAGAAGCAGCAGCGCUGCAAAUAUUAGUGCACUUACUAUUCAGGUGAAGAAUGAAGUGCUGUGUAAUUCAGAGGAUAAGUGAGAUUGACAUGGCCUUGACAUGUUGGUUCUGAGAUGAAUGCGAGAAUCCUGCUAGAUCAGGGUUGGGCUCUCUCCCUCUGUCUCUUCUGCCCGCCCUGAGUCAAGAUGUUGACCUGAUAAAAAGAGGUAAUUCCAGCAAACUGGUUUUACAGUGUGCAAAUUUGAGCAUCUCAACAUGAUUCAGGUGAUGUUUAAUGAAAGUGCCGUACUGUUUUGUUACUGCUUUGUAGUUAGGUUUUUGUUCAAAUACCCUGUGCUGUGUACGUGACAUUAUAAACAUUGGACAGCUGAGAUUAAAUGUCUCCUUAGCACUCUCAGUGAAGUCAGUAGCAGAAAUGAUCACCUUCAGCUGGGAUUUCCCAACUCUGCACUUGCAGAAGUGUAUUAGAAAUGGUGAUUUAUUUUAAAUAUAACAUUGGGAUUCUAAUGUGUCAUUUCAUACACCUUGCGUUUCAAAUCUAAGCCUUGCCAUCCAUUAAAGGUAAAGGUAAAGGUACCCCUGCCCAUAUGGGCCAGUCGUGUCCGACUCUAGGGUUGCGUGCUCAUCUCGCUCUAUAGGCCGUGAGCUGGCGCCGUCCGAAGACACUUCCGGGUCAUGUGGCUAGCGUGACGAAGCUGCAGCUGGUGAGCCAGAACCAGUGCAGGACACGGAAACGGCAUUUACCUUCCCACUAUAAAGCGGUACCUAUUUAUCUACUUGCACUUAAGAGUGCUUUCGAACUGCUAGGUGGGCAGGAGCUGGGACCGAAUGACAGGAGCUCACCCUGCCGCAGGGAUUCGAACCGCUGACCAUACGAUCAGCAAGUCCUAGGCACUGAGGCUUUACCCACAGCACCACCCGCAUCCCCCAUCCAUUGGGGAUCAUUAAUUUUAAUCAAAGGAACUAAAAAUUAGCUAGGGAUUUAUUCCAAGUGUUGCACACACCCCUGAAUAAAACCACUGCUAAUUCGUUUAGCUUCAGUUGUGAAAUUUGUUGCUACACAUUGGCCUAGCGCUCUCUGAAAUGUAUGCGAUAGGAAUCGUUUGUCCUCCAAAUUAUGGCACUUCAUACUUUAGUGAGUCUAUCGUGAGGUGAUGUUCCUCACUCGCCAAACAUUCAGACAAGUAUUAUGGCACCCAGACUACAAGACUUGAACCUACCUCUCUGACAUCUAGUGCAGGAAUUCUAAUUGCUUGUAUAGGGGGACAUUUAGUUGCAUGGUGCCCCACCUGAAUUGGUACAGUCAAGACCCACGUUUACCAUCUCGUUUGCUUUCUCUAAAUUUGGCUUUGUCAUAUUUGCAUAUUUUAUAUUACUCCAGGUCACUGCAGCUAUAGCUUCUGAAAAAAUAACCCCAGAGGGUGGUAUUCAAGUAAGUUUUACCCAGAGUAAACCCACUGGAAUCAAUGGACAUGCCUAAGACAGGUGCAUUAUUUUAAAUAGGUCUACUCUGAGUCACAUUUAGUUGGCUACCACCCAUAGUAUAUUUAUUUAGAGGCCCUGUAGGUUGUUAUAGGAUCAUGCUGGGCAGUAAUCCACAGUUCAAAGUCUCCACAAGAAAACCUCAAGUGGUCGAUGGUAAAGGAGUGGGUGGUGCUGUGGUCUAAACCACUGGGCCUCUUGGGCUUGCCAUUCAGAAGGUUGGUGGUUCAAAUCCUCACGACGGAGUGAGCUCCUGUUGCUCUGUCCCAGUUCUUGCUAACCUAGCAGUUUGAAAGCACGCCAGUGCAAGCAGAUAAAUAGGUACCCCUGUGGCAGGAAGGUAAACAGCGUUUCUGUGUGCUCUGGUUUCUGUCCUGAUGUUCCGUUGCACCAGAAGCGGUUUCGUCAUGCUGGCUACAUGACCCGGAAAGCUGACAAACACCAGCUCUCUUGGCUUGAAAAGCAAGAUGAGCGCCAUAACCCCAUAGUCGCCUUUGACUGGACUUAACCGUCCAGGAGUCCUUUACCUUUACUUACACGUGCAUGUAUUUGUUCAAAUACCUGGGAGUCCUGCUUGGACCAGGCCCCAACAACAUGUCUAAUAAUGUUUAAAGUUGUUGUAGAACACACCUACAUAAUAAAAAGCAGUAUAAACUCUAGGCAACACACACUAAAACACCAGCUUUUCAUCUGCGUCUUGAGACAAUUCUGAAAAAAAGAGCAUCACAAGGAAUUUCUUAAACAUCCACUGAAGAAAAUCAGUUAAGGAUAAGUCUGAUCAGAGAAGAUUCCUUCUCUUUUCCCUACACAGAGAGUAAAAUAGAAUUAUUUUAGCUUUACAGCACUGGUUUAGGAAACUUUAGCAGUUUCUUCCUGCGGACGGAGCAUCAGCAACUGUGACUACUUGGUUAACACUAGUGUUUCUCAGUGCAGACAGGGAAUGGUCUUUCUUGGCUGUGGAACAAGAUAAUGACAUAAUCUUCCCAGGAACAUGUGAGCUGUCAUGUAUCAUUUUAAUCUGUAAAACCCCGGAGCUGAGUGUACCGUCACAUGCUGAUUUUACUAUUCUAUGCAAAAGUGACUCUGGGUUCAUUGAUGGAUUGUUUGCUCUCUUUCUAAAACAGUCAAGAUGCUGAAUGCCCUCGGGUGAUAGACAGUGUGCAAUAGGAACGAAAGCAAAGCUGAUGGCCCAGUUCAAGUUCACCUGACAAAGCUGGAGCAGUCUGCAAGUGAGACUCCAAAAAAGGAUUAUUCACACUAGCAUUAUAUUUUGUGAAUGCAUUUUUCUCCCUUCGCAGCUGCAAAGCUUCCCGACCCUGAAGGUUUUACACACCACAAUAAAGAGAUUUAAUUUCUCUCUCUCUUUCUCUACCCAGUUUUCUACUCUUUACACCUAAUUUCUUCUCCGGCUCUGGACUGUGACGGGGCAUUUGUAUAUCCAAACAACGCAGCACACAAACAUCACCUAGAAAACAAUAGCAGCACGAAGCAGCAGCACAGAAAAUCUCAGCUCCCUGUAAGUUUCAGAAACAAAAGCCAAUGGUUUUUGUUCAGCCUAACUUUGUAGUGGGGAUCUGUGCAUUGAUAAAAUAUCAUAUGCAUUCAACAUUACUCAAAAUGACACAAAUAAUCAUACGCAUUUUCUAAAUGCACUCUACAAUAUUAUUAUUUUUAAAUGUCAUUGUUUCUUAAACAUCUGCUGAAGAAAAUCAGUUGAGUCUGAUCAGAGAAGGUUCAUUCUCUUUCCCCACCCUUACACAGCAAUAUAUAUUGCGGGCCCAUGCGCUAAACUUUGUCCCUGGAGCCUACCCGCCAGGAAUGAGACAUGACAACAAUGUAUGGGUUUAAAAUUAGGCCACAACUUUAUUGAAUUUCAGGUGUAGGAACCUUGGCUUAGGCCUUGGAAGGUAUCCCUCUCAUACCUGACAGGGGCUGAGGAUGCGCAGGGCAGUCAGGCGGUGUGGGAGGGACUGUAUAGUGUGCCCUCCCACUUCGCCGAAGCUGGGAGUUUGACCUUCUGAUGCUGCUCCAGGCCCAAUCAACCUUUUAAAGGGUCCUGCUAACACCGCCGCAUGGAGGUGCAUGAAGAUGCUGCCCCCAUCACAAAGAUAGACUACAGAAUACCAACCAAGGCCUAAAACCACCACCCGAGACCCCAAACUGGGGACUUGCCGCCAAGAUACCUACAGCUGAAGGCCCCUCCCCUAAAGAGAAGGGCUGUGCCCUGCCAGCCAUCAAUCCUUGAGGCCCUGACACACAUUGUGCAACCAAAGGUCGUUACUGGUUGGGUCAAAUGUACUCCGCCCACCUGAAACAGCUCAGAAUUGUCCACUCGGGUGGUGAAUGGAGACACUGCUGAUCUGGCGUGUUAUGCAUGGCCCUAUUAAUUUUUUGGCACUGUAUAAUUGAUGUGAGAAGGUUUAUUGGCCACUCUCUAGCACUGGCGGUGGAGGAGUUCGAACCAGAGCACGGUCAUUGCCGGGCAUAGGGCAUGCACGAUAUCAAGGUCUGCCUUCGCAGAUAGAACCAGGCUGAUGCCUUUUUGCACUACCAGGUCAAUCUCUCCCAGGUGCAGUAUCAAUGCCUCUUGCGGGCCAUGGGCAGUGACAGCUCUGCACAGCAUGGGCAUCAGCAUGACCCAACGCAUGCUUUGUUGUCCCAUCCUGGAAAGCAAACAAAGUGAGCCUGGGCCAAAGAGCACGGUCCUUUUCUGGCCCUUGCCCUGCCCCCACCCAUUGGCUCGCUGAGAUGGGGCGGGGCGACGGCCACACUGUAGCCAAAGUGGGUGGCACCCUGGUCCCGGGAAGCCCUGCCCAGUGUUGUAAACACCGCCCACCUCUUGGAGGGGAUGAGCGGUAAUUAUUGCUUUCAUAAGAGUGCAUCUUUAUAUGUGAACCUCUACAUGCAAUCCGAAUCCAGAACGCUAAUCCACUGCCAUCCUAAGCAUGUUUACUCAGAGGUCCUAUUCACUUCCAAGGAAUUUAUUCUCAGGUAAGAAUAUAUGGGAUUGUAACGUCAAUUUCACCAACACUUUGCUUUAAAUUAUGGUAAAUAAAGUAUUGUGAAUGCAGCCCAUACAGGUAAAUUAUGGGCCAGGUAAAUUAUUCAAGUAAAAUUUUCUCCUUUGAAGUAAGACUAAGAAUUUGUACAGGGGCCUUACUGUUUCUAUUUUGUGCUUCCUUAAUGUACAUCUCACCCACAGCAUGGGAGGAACCUGUUGUGGCUGUAAAGUUUAUUACACACAGAAAGAGCCAGUGUGGCCUAAUGGUUAAGAGUGUUAGACUAUGACCUGGGAGACCAGGGUUCGAAACCCCACUCAGCCAUGAAGCACACUGGGUGACCCCGGGCCAGUCAACAUCUCUCAGCGUAACCUGCCCCAUAGGGUUGUUGUGAGUAUGAAAUGGGGAGGAGGAGAACCUUGUACACACCUUGAGCUCCUUGGAAGAUAAAGGUGGUAUUCAAAAGCAUUACUGGAUCCAAUGAUGGAGGCAGAGCAUAGCCAUUGUGGCUGGUAGCCACUGAUAGACAUAUGCUCUAUGCAUUUGUGUUCCAGGACCCUUCAACCCUGCAGCUUUCCCCAGAGGUCUGAGAUUAAUAAAAUGCCCAUAGCAGCUGAUAAUGAUGAGUAGCUAAGUCAAUGGUGCUUUGCUGCAAAGAACUUCAAAUACAAUCCUGUUCAGGUGUUCCCCAGCAAGAAGAACACAGAUUAUCUAGCUCCUGACGGCCCAGCUCCAUCACCCUCCAUGAGCUUGCGCUAAAUGUCUGUAGUGUGGUGACCUCAAUUGCACAAUUUAGAACCCUGUUCAUGCAUAAAUAGCCUCUGUGUAUCAAGCAUCACCAAUGGUUUGAUCGCAAUCUUUAAGACUGAUUCAUAUCACAUUGAAAUGAGUUGGUCAUUAGGCAUGGUGGGUUUCUCCAUAUGGCAAAGCAGUACUUGUGGGGCUGCAACAUCUUACGAUAGAUCUUGCUUUAUCGUAACGUAUUGUGUCGUGCCAACCCCAAAAGGUGUAACAGCCGUGUGGCAAAAUGGGAGUCUAAACUGAACGAACGAAUGACGAUAGAUGGAGUUGAGUGCAUAGUGAUUCAAUCACACAACCGUUUAUCUGCACAAAUUCAGCCUGCAAACUGCCAACUCACAUUUUGGCAGGCAUCCAGGGUCAUGUGAAAUGGCCUUUAGACCUGCUCCAAAGAAAUCCAAAUGACAGGGGUGGCAUAAAACAGAUGUCUGGUCUAUAGCAGGGAUCCCACCAUUGUUUUACUUUGGGAAAGCUGCACUGAUAGAUACUUUUAAAGAGGAGCGGGGGGAAGUCUAAUGGCACAAUCCGCAGGGAGGUUCUCCUGCACCGGUCCUAGUGAAAUGAAUGGGUGCUAUGCAUGAGCAUAGCAUUGCUUUUGUGUCGUUCCAAAUUCAUAGCACUGGGUUUUGUGAGGGAGAAUGCCCCCUAAUGCUGAGCUUUGGGGAGAGGAAGAGCAAUCUCUUAUAUUAUAAUAUUCCUCAGUGAAUGCUUGGGAAGUGCAAUGGCUGUAAUUCUGCUUUUUGCUUCUUUCCAUUUCUCCAGGUGGUAGCUGACAAAAAGUCCAAGGAGGUCACAUCCAUGAAUUACAAGCUUUGAUCU
rnacentral:lncRNA from 1 species